UAUUUGUUUCAUCAUAAACCUUACCAAUCAAAACCCUUGUUAGCUGUGAUAAUAACUUGCAGUCCAGCCUUUACGCACAGCGGAGUGACUCAGACUCGCCAUGCAGCCAUGUGGAGAUACAGAGGACAGCCUGCGUAGCGGAUGAAACAGAUGAGAAGCUUUCUCUGCGAAGUGUAGCCCGUAAUCCUGUCCUUGCGACAGCCGUCACACCACCUCAUACUUUACCUACACCGCAGCGGAUCUUAACUUUCUACACAGGCUAUUUGAAUUAAAUUAUUAUUUGAUGGAAAACAAAGUUUACACUUUGUCAUUUCCUUAAAAAGCAGAGGUGCGUGCAGCAGCUGCGACCAUAACAUAAAUCCCGGUUUUCUUUUUCUUUAAAAAAAAAAAAGAAAAAGAAAAAGAAAAGAAAAGAAACUCCUGUUGAAGACGCAAGAAGGAGGCUUUCAGCUGACAAGCAGCACAUGGUUCGUUGUUUUGAGAUGUGGAUCAAAGUGGGGAGAGCUGCAGAAAUUCGCAUCCGUACCGGAAUUUCCCAUCUUCCUCUAAAAAAUGCAAUCAGAUGGGGUUUUAGCCACAAACAUUUCACCAACAAGUGACAUCAAGGACAGGCAGAACAGGGGGCAUUCCUCAGCUUUCAGCUGUAACUGCUGACCGCAGUAGCAAGACUGACUACACUCUGCUACGGCCUGGAAGUAACAAACCCUUCAAGGUUACAAACCAUACAGAUCCCUGCUUUUCCACGCUGGCCCUCCGUCUGUCAGCUGAAGUUCAAAUUCAAGC